GCUGGGUGUGGUGGCGCAUGCCUGUAAUCCCAGCUACUCAGGAGGCUGAGGCAGGAGAAUUGCUUAAACCUAGGAGACAGAGGUUGCAGUGAGCCAAGAUCACGCCACUGCACUCCAGCCUGGGUGACAGAGCAAGACUCUGUCUCAA
ensembl:misc_RNA Metazoa_SRP Metazoan signal recognition particle RNA